rnacentral:rRNA from 1 species
CUGGCGCCUUCGGUGUCCGAGUUGUAAUUUGAAGAAGGCUACUUUGGAGUUGGCUCUUGUCUAUGUUCCUUGGAACAGGACGUCACAGAGGGUGAGAAUCCCGUGCGAUGAGAUGCCCAAUUCUUUGUAAAGUGCUUUCGAAGAGUCGAGUUGUUUGGGAAUGCAGCUCUAAGUGGGUGGAGAGACCGAUAGCGAACAAGUACAGUGAUGGAAAGAUGAAAAGAACUUUGAAAAGAGAGUGAAAAAGUACGUGAAAUUGUUGAAAGGGAAGGAUUUGAGAUCAGACUUGGUAUUUUGCAACCUUACCCUCGUGGUGGGGCCCCUGCAGUUUACUGGGCCAGCAUCAGUUUGGAUGAUGGGAUAAUGACUAAGGAAUGUGGCUCUGCUUCGGUGGAGUGUUAUAGACUUGGUUGAUACCGUCUAUCUAGG